AUAUCAAUAAGCGGAGGAAAAGAAACUAACAAGGAUUCCCCUAGUAACUGCGAGUGAAGCGGGAAAAGCUCAAAUUUGAAAUCUGGCGGUUCUGCCGUCCGAGUUGUAUUCUGGAGAAGUGCCUUCCGUGCCGGACCGUGUACAAGUCCCUUGGAACAGGGCGUCAUAGAGGGUGAGAAUCCCGUCUUUGACACGGACUGCCGGUGCUCUGUGAUGCGCUCUCGAAGAGUCGAGUUGUUUGGGAAUGCAGCUCAAAACGGGUGGUAAAUUCCAUCUAAAGCUAAAUAUUGGCGAGAGACCGAUAGCGAACAAGUACCGUGAGGGAAAGAUGAAAAGCACUUUGGAAAGAGAGUAAAACAGUACGUGAAAUUGUUGAAAGGGAAACGCUUGAAGUCAGUCGCGUCUGCCGGAACUCAGCCUUGCUUCUGCUUGGUGCACUUUCCGGUUUGAUGGGCCAGCAUCAAUUUCGCCUCUCGGAUAAUGGCGAGGGAAAAGUGACACCUUUACGGUGUGUUAUAGUCCCUCGUCGCAUGCGAGGGUCGGGAUUGAGGAACUCAGCACGCGCCCUCGGGCGUCGGGGUUUUCGCCCACGAUACGUGCUUAGGAUGUUGGCGUAAUGGCUUUAAACGA
rnacentral:rRNA from 1 species